CUCUGACUCACACUCCUGCACAGUAGGUGGCGGUAAUUCACCUUAAGUUGGUUGCCACCCGCCAUUUAACCGGAAAGGAAGAAGAAGAAGGUGACUGGAAGCUUCUAGAAAUAGUGUGUUCGCUACUGAAGGAGGAGCCGUUAGAAGUAGACCUCGAUUUGUUUUUUGAGGAAACCCUUUGGCUUGUUGAUUGAGGUUUAAAUCACCUUUUCCUGCCUGGAAAGCCAACACAUUUAAAGACUCAGAUGCACUGCUUUGGUCCACUGGAGAGGUAUUAAUACUCAUGGGUGCCACAUCCAUGGCAGGAUGUCUUCAUCAUAUCCUGUCUCAUCAAAGAUGUGGUAGGAUCAUUUAAGACCUCUACACGAUUCAAAGGACUAAGGUUUUUUUUCCCUUCCUGAGUGAGGGUUUGGACAGUUUUUUUUGGCAACUUUCCAACAUUUUAGUGGACUGAAUUAUCAAUUUGCCCAAAAGCAAGAAGAAUGUGUGACAUAGUCCUGAACACUUUGUUAAAGGACAAUUGGUUUUCUUUCUUUCUUUCUUUAUUUAUUUUCUAUUUAUUGAUUGUUCAAUUUUUAUCGUUCCUCUAAGAGCCCUCUAGGAGAGGGAAUUUAGCAUUUAUUUCCUUUAUGAUGAAUAUUACAAACUGUUACAUACUUCAAUAUAUUUAAUUUAUUGAAUUGAUUGUUGUGUGUGUGGUUUGUGGGUUGGAGGUUUCAAACUUCAGGUAAUGAGAUACUACUGCUAAGAACCCAGAAAUGGAGUUCAAAGGAACAAAAAGCAAGAAACCUUAGUAAAUAAGACACAUUUGAUCCUGUAGCUCCCACAACACUUCAACCUUGAAGAAGUAUUCCACGCUGAUAUAUUUGAAUACACAUACUCAGUUUUUCAGGGAGCCACAGGUUACAAAAGGAAGACUAAUUAACAAGUGGGGAAGGACACAAACACUAAAGGAAACUAAAAAUGAAAAGCUGAACCUAUAGAAAAUAAAACUACCUGGUUACUCCACAUAUGUAUUUCAUGAGCAUGUUUUAACUCAGAAUUACCACUGAAGGACUUAGUUGUUUGUCCUUUUAUCAAACCUAUUUCGAGCCUGAGAGGGUUAAAAGAUGAAAUCUUAAAUAAACCAGGUGGAUAUUUACUAAUUAAUUAUUUAGAUGUCAUGAAGUUUUCAGAUUUAAUGACGUCACUGACUUUAUUAAAGUUACAGCUGGAAAAGAAAUAUCAGCAGCUCGAACAUUUAAAGGUAACCCCCAAAUUCCACUACCUCCGCUCCGCUCCGACACGAACGCCGGAGCAAAAUCAGUCCCGUUGUAGUCAAUCAGAGCAAUUCCACUACUGCGGCCGUGCUCCGGCAGUGCGGCGCCGUGCGCCACCCUCUGUUCCGGCAUCCGGCAAAAAUAGAAUCAAUCCUAUUUUUGCCGGACGCCGGAGCACCUCUGCAGUAAAUGGACAGAAAUCACAACCACCCAACAGGAAAAGGAGCAAGCACAACUUCCGUUUUUCACAAUAAAUCAAUAAACAAAAGGCGUUUUUUGUUUCAUAUGCACAGGUUUAACAACUUUUAACAACUAUCAAUGGCGGCUGAAGUUUAAAUGCACAAAAGUAAGCCAUAAAUACAGUUUCUACUAUCAAAGUAGUCACACUUUGUUGAUCCACACACUGCUGAUCUGUCAACACAAAUGAUGGGCAGAUUAAACCGUUCUUGCCGAUGUUUCUCCCACAACGGGUGUUUGGAUCUAACUUCCGCGUUUAUUGCUCGGACUCUAUCGCAAGAUCUCGAAAGUCCCGCGCAUGCUUGUUUGCCCCCCUCAGGUCUCCGCACCGGAGCGGAGCCGUUGUUGAGCGGGUAUAGUAAAAAUUGAGUUCGGAAGCGAGUGGCUGCGGAAGGCGGGGGCGGACCGGAGUGGAGCGGAGCGGAGGUAGUGGAAUUUAGGGGUAAGUCUUCAUUCAAAGCAUGAGGAAAUUGAAAAAGUCAGAGUUAAAGUGAGUUCAAUACUGUGUAAAGUUACUGGAAAUGCACAGUGUUACGUCCCCGACAUGAGAUGUUAAAAGUGUGAAGGAUGGGGAGAACAUAAGAACUGGCGGCGGAGUUUAAAAUGGGUUUAUUUGUACAAAAGGUAUUAAAAAACGAGCAAAACUGAUUUCUCAAAAAGGUUAACAGUACAAAGCAAAUCAUCAACUAUAAAACACCUGGUAAAAACUUUUAAUAAAAGUUUUACCGCAACGAAGGUGUUUAAAAUCCUGAAGUUGAUAAAAGUCUAAAAACAUUCUACUGACUAAAACACCUGGUAAAAACUUAUAUUAAAAGCUUUACCACAACGGAAGGCGUUUAAAACCGAGGUCAGUAAAAUAGCCACAGACAAAGUUGACCUUAAAACCCAAACACACAAAAGAUCCCACUGGAUCAUCCUCAGUUUCUCAUUAAGAGUUAAA